UCUUAUAGAUGAACAAAGAAAGUGGUUUUUUGAGAUAGAAUCUACUCCUGGUGAAGAUAUACUAUGAA
rnacentral:pre_miRNA from 1 species